ACGCAAUAGAUACCCCGGUAGUCCUAGCUGUAAACGGUGCGCGUUUGGUGUUGGCAAGUUAGACCUUGUCAGUGCCGGAGCUAAACGCGUUAAACGCGCCGCCUGGGAAGUACGAUCGCAAGAUUAAAACUCAAAGAAAUUGACGGGGACCCGCACAAGCGGUGGAGUAUGUGGCUUAAAUUCGAUGCAACGCGAAGAACCUUACCUGGAUUUGACAUGCACUGUGUCUCCGAUGAAAGUCGGAUACUGUUGAAACAUACAGGCUUUGCACAGGUGCUGCAUGGCUGUCGUCAGCUCGUGUCGUGAGAUGUUGGGUUAAGUCCCGCAACGAGCGCAACCCUCGUGGUUUGUUGCCCCCGGAUUUAUUUCCGCGCACUCAAACCAUACUGCCCAGAUUAACUGGGAGAAGGCGAGGAUGACGUCAAGUCAGUAUGGCCCUUACAUCCAGGGCUGCACACGUACUACAAUGCCCAAUCAAAUAGAUCCUAAUCCGCGAGGAGGAGGAAAUCUCAUAAAAUUGGGCCCAGUUC
rnacentral:rRNA from 1 species